UUUUCAUCUUGUUCCAUGUUCUUAUAGAGGAAACAUGGAGAUCUUUUUUGAGUCCAAACUAGGGAGAUGAGAUGCCUGAGAAUUCAAGAGUUUGGGUUCAAGAACUAGCAGAUUGAGGAGGCAUUGGUGCAGUAUUAAGAGCUUCUGAGAGACACACAGCAUCUGGGAUGAGAUGUCUGUUCUGAGACGGAAGCCAAGAUCCUAUGGAGCUCAAGGUUUUAUGGAGCCAUUUCUAGGCAUCUUGCAACUGGACCCAGACAACACUGGAGAAGAGAGAGGCUGGUGUUUUUGCCCAGUCCCGCCUCAAUUAAGUGUGAUUCCCUUGCAAAUCAUGACGUCAUUCUCACAAUGUCAGGACCUCUUCUAGAACAAAUAAAGAAUAAACAGCUCUCUUCACCUUUGCAUUCUCA